ensembl:lncRNA
AUAUCAAUAUACAGAUUAUACAGUAUAUAUAGAUUUAUACAUUAUCAAGUAACAAAAAUAUUUAAAAGUUCAUAACCCUGACUAUAAUACAGUAUUUUUUUUUUUUAGAUAUUUAACACAAAAUUGUAUUAAUAUAUAUAUAUAUAUAUAUAUAUAUAUAUAUAUAUAUAUAUAUAUAUAUAUAUAUAUAUAUAUAUAUAUAUAUAUAUAUAUAUAUAUAUAUAUACACUUUUAUUUCUCAUGUGAUGACUGGACACCAUGUGUGAAAUUAAACUUGCAUAAAUGAAUAAUAACAACAAAUAAUAAUGGUAAAAAGAAGAAGAAUUCUGUUAUUUCUUUAUUUAGCUGCAGCAUCUUAAUGCAUUUGCUCCAUUGCAUGAUCAUCCCUCCGUUUGAUUUGGUGGUUAUUAACGUAAACGUAAUGUGAUUAAGGUCUUGCUCCUCGGGAGAGUGCGAGCACAGCAGAGGUUUUUCUGAACAGGAUCUGACACAGAAGCCUCUAACAGCUGUUUGAUUUCAUGUGUUCAUUAACUGUGUGUUGCCGUGCAUGCUAAUGCUCCUCGGGGUUCAGCGUUCUGCUUACGUAACUGUGUGAUGUUGUCCUGUCAGCUCUGCUCGUCCUCAGCGCUCCUGACCUCUCACGUUUAUCAUUAGAGUGUGUUUGUGUGAAUGCAGUGUACUUUGACAUUUCUUAACCCCUGUCCUUCUCUCUUAGAUCACUUCGAGAUGUCAGAGAGCGACCGGGGAAAGCGUUUGGACCUCAGCGAUUAUGGUGAAGGCAAUCCCAUAAUGCACUGCGACAAGCUCAGUGAAACAAAAUCAACUAAGAUGAAAGCAGGAUUGCUCAGUAGGCUUUUCCACGGUGCUGAGAAAUGAAGUGAAUGGAGUUUAAGCAAACAGAGUCAGGUCUGCCUGCAGCAUGAAGUCCCAGAGCUUAUUUUAUCUUUUAUUUUAUUAUUUUAGUUUAUUUUUUAUUAUUUAAAUUUACUUGAAAUAAGAAUUGUAUUAUUUCUACUUCAUUUGCCUUUGAGUAUAUUUGCAGUAAAAUCUGUUUUCUUGUUUUUAGAUCUUUCUGUAUCUAUUUUUUUUUUGUCUUUUUCCUUUUUAUUUAUUUUUUCUCUUAUUGUUUUAUUUUAUUUUAUACAGGUAAAUUAAUGUUUAAUUAAUUGUAGGGCUUGUAGAAUCUAUCUUUCUAAAUGUUAUAUUUUAUAUUUAUAUAUAUUGCAGUGUAACAUCUCUCUGCCUAUCAAUAAAUAAUACAACUUUUUUUAAAAUAUAUUUUUUUCCUUUAAUUUAUGUUUAUUUUUUAUUUAUUGGCAGGAAAUUUUACACCUCUAUCUUUCUUUUUAUUUAAUUUAAUUUAAUUUAAUUUUUAUUUUAAUUACUGUUAAUUUUAUGCAUGUUUUAAGUUGCUUGUAUACAAAUUUGAGCAAACAAACUUCUUUGAAUUGACCCAAAGGUGAAUGCAAAGAAGCUUUUUGCAUUGCAAAAUUUUUCAUAAGAUAUAGAUUUUGACAUUUAUUUAUUUAUUUAUUUGCCAGUUUAGUUUUGCUGGUUAAAGUCUGUGCUGAUGCAACAUCAAUAUCAGAAGUUGCUCUCUUCUGCCAAAACAGCCCUAGAAUAUGAACAUGUGCCAAGAGAGACGGACAGACAGACUCCUGGAAAACAAGCUAAUAAGGUUAGCAUAUAUAAACAAAAAUGGAUUAAUGAAAUAAAACAGAAUAAUAUUUAAUCAGACUGAAGAAAGUAAAUAUUAAUGAGCCUGCCGUGUUUGUUUGUUUGUGUCGGCGGACAAACCCACCCUGAAGUUUGGAGACGUCUUGAUGCAAAUUGUGUGUAACUUGUCAGAGGCUAACAGCUCUGAAUAUUUUAUGAAGGGUCGCAAAAAAUCUUUGCGAGUGCAAUAAGACAGAAUAAUUCAUUGGUUUGACUGCAGUGACAUGAGACGAGACAACUUUUGAGUUUGAGGACUUUCAGCUUUAAAUAUCUAAUACAGAGGGUGUCCAAAAGUUUGAAAACACUAGUUAGAUUUUUUAAUCAUUUAAAACAUCAUUUUCCACUACCAUAUAAAUUAUAUAUCAGAUCCGU